CCUACGGGAGGCAGCAGUGGGGGAUAUUGCACAAUGGGGGAAACCCUGAUGCAGCGACGCCGCGUGAGUGAAGAAGUAUUUCGGUAUGUAAAGCUCUAUCAGCAGGGAAGAAAAUGACAGUACCUGACCAAGAAGCCCCGGCUAACUACGUGCCAGCAGCCGCGGUAAUACGUAGGGGGCAAGCGUUAUCCGGAUUUACUGGGUGUAAAGGGAGCGUAGACGGUUAUGUAAGUCUGGAGUGAAAGCCCGGGGCCCAACCCCGGGACUGCUUUGGAAACUGUGUAACUGGAGUGUGUGAGAGGAUAGUGGAAUUCCAGGUGUAGGAGUGAAAUCCGUAGAUAUCUGGAGGAACAUCAGUGGCGAAGGCGACUAUCUGGCACAUAACUGACGCUGAGGAGCGAAAGCGUGGCUAGCAAACAGGAUUAGAUACCCCUGUAGUC
rnacentral:rRNA from 1 species